UAGCUAUUUUGGUGAUUUUUCUUUAUUGAAGUCUAUUUUGUGACAAAAACUUAAAAAUUGCUAUUUGAGAGAAUUGCCGUAAAAGUAAUAUAAAUGCAUUUGUGUUUUAUAUUAAUUAUAUCUAUUUAACUAAUAAUAUUUGAGAUAAAUAAAUUAUUUUUAAAAUUAAUACAUUAAGUUAAAAUAAAUAUAAAUUGAAAUGGUACUUUGAAGAUGAUAACUUUUAAGAAAGAAAGAGAUAAAUUAUUUAGGAUCUGGGACAAAUGCUUUCUUUUUGACAACACCUUAAGCAAUGCACGGUCCUGACGAGGAGCAAAAAGAUGAACGAGGGUGAGAUAUCUAUUAGUGCAAGAUGACACUACAAUAGUACUGCAGAAGAUAAUUCAAGAGACAAAAAAAUACAAGUAAACACUCUGCUUUAUUAGAAUUUCUUUAAACAAUCUAUUACAAGAUCUUGUUUAUUCAGCUUUACUCGUCUAGUGUUAACACCCUAACACACGACACUGAAGGAUUCCUAAGCUACCUACUUAUGUUUCUUUCCCGUCA
rnacentral:lncRNA from 1 species